AAGUCGUAACAAGGUUUCCGUAGGUGAACCUGCGGAAGGAUCAUUAACACGUAUCCAACGUUAAACAACCCUGUGAACUUUCAGCCGUUCUCGUAGCCCUUGAGGAACAGCAAUCCCGGUAAAUCAUUGUCGAACAGUUUUGAUUCGGGACCUCUGCCCAAAAAGGCUUGUUACGAUCGAGCGUGGAGUAGGUGGCAUGGCGCCCCAAGCGGGUCAGUUGAAAUGAGGGAAUUGUUCACUGGCUCGUGUAAGGUUAACGCUUCUCGGUUGCUAGAGGUCCAUACGGCCGGCAGACAUGUCACAGGGCUUUGCCCCCUAAUCACUACUUGCCCGAAUGCCCCGCCUAGUGGUAACGCGCUAGGUAAAAAAAACCGAACAACUGUUAACAAUGGAUAUCUUGGUUCUC
rnacentral:misc_RNA from 1 species